AUAUUACUUGUUAGGAUUUCCUUUUGCUAUGAUAUUUUCAGCUUUGAUCAUGUUUAGUUUAGUGUUUCCUUGUGCCUUUUUCAUAUCUUUAUAAAAUUCUGAUAAUUUUUUAUGCUUACAAUUUUCAUUGAUCAGGUUUUAAAAGGGGUCGGAAAAAAUUCCCGUAUAUAACCAAAUUAAACCGACUCAGCCAAACCAAACCGACCUAGUCAAACAAAACUAAAAAAUCAACUCGAUUAAACUGAACAAACGCAAACAAAACCAAAUUAAACCAAAUUGAACAUAAACUAAACCGAACCAAACACAAA
rnacentral:lncRNA from 1 species